AGUGGCGGACGGGAGAGUAACGCGUAAGAAUCUAACUUCAGGACGGGGACAACAGUUGGAAACGACUGCUAAUACCCGAUAUGCCGCGAGGUGAAACCUAAUUGGCCUGAAGAAGAGCUUGCGUCUGAUUAGCUAGUUGGUGGGGUAAGAGCCUACCAAGGCGACGAUCAGUAGCUGGUCUGAGAGGAUGAGCAGCCACACUGGGACUGAGACACGGCCCAGACUCCUACGGGAGGCAGCAGUGGGGAAUUUUCCGCAAUGGGCGAAAGCCUGACGGAGCAACGCCGCGUGAGGGAGGAAGGUCUUUGGAUUGUAAACCUCUUUUCUCAAGGAAGAAGUUCUGACGGUACUUGAGGAAUCAGCCUCGGCUAACUCCGUGCCAGCAGCCGCGGUAAUACGGGGGAGGCAAGCGUUAUCCGGAAUUAUUGGGCGUAAAGCGUCCGCAGGUGGUCAGCCAAGUCUGCCGUCAAAUCAGGUUGCUUAACGACCUAAAGGCGGUGGAAACUGGCAGACUAGAGAGCAGUAGGGGUAGCAGGAAUUCCCAGUGUAGCGGUGAAAUGCGUAGAGAUUGGGAAGAACAUCGGUGGCGAAAGCGUGCUACUGGGCUGUAUCUGACACUCAGGGACGAAAGCUAGGGGAGCGAAAGGGAUUAGAUACCCCUGUAGUCCUAGCCGUAAACGAUGGAUACUAGGCGUGGCUU
rnacentral:rRNA from 1 species